GAAAUGAUGCAAAAGGCAAGAAAAUAAAUAUUAUGGAAAUUUAUUAAUUAGGAUAUUGCUUGUUGUAUGUAAGUGUUCAAAAAUAAUAAUACUUGCUACAAACAUCUUUUAAGUGAUUAUUGGAGAUUACAACCAAAAGGCAUAAAUAUUAUGUCAAUAAGCUUUGGGGUCCCUUAUAACAGUUUUAAAAUUCUGUAAUUAUGGCAGUGCUUUGAAUUUUGUUUCUAAGGAAUUGCUAGAGGGGAAAUAACUCUAAAAAAGGAAUUAAGAACUCAGUCUCGGCUUGUGUUGCAAUAUCUUUCUGUUCUUAGGACUCACUUUGUAGUAAACAAUGAGGCUAUUUACCAAGGGUUUCUUAGAAAUCAUUUCAAAUUUCAAGAAAGUACAUUAUAGGAAUUCAGGAGAUUAGUCUGAUAAAAAGCUUCUAAGAAAGAUACAAAAUGUGAAAUUAUUGAUUUAAGUAAACUAAACUUACUAUAGGUAAACGAAGAUAGAUAUACGUGUAAUACAUAAACUACGCCUCAUUAGCAGUUUUAUUAUUUGUUUCUGAUUCUGUUACUAAAAAUGGAUCCAUUAACACACAUAUUUUUGGUCCUGGUACAUUUUCAUUUUAAAAAUUAUUUCUCACAUCUUCCAAUUAUUGACAUUGCUGACUAGUGCUAUUUGAAAACUCUUUGUAGUCCAGGCUACUUACCAUCAUGUUGGAUAAAAAUAGGCAAAUGACAUAUGCUCCCUUCUAAGAAAUAGAAUUCUUGGCUUCAUCUAACCUAAUUAACUGGCUAGAGUAGUCAUCCAUAAAAGCAGAAGCUAACACUUCAGAGCCCAUUAGCAUUGCCCAUGAAGCUGAUCUCCUUAGCUGGUUGAUUUCUCUCUUUACAAGCCUAAGAAUCCUAACCUAAACUAUGUGUUAACUGCAAAACAAUCUAAGCAGGUUCUUCAGGAGUUAUUUGGAAGAAGAAGGCAUUGUUAUCACAGGAGAUGACAACUCCAUGUGUGACACAAAAAACCAUACCAAAGAUAAGUGACACUAAAAGUUCGUUUUUUGAAAGAAUAAGUAAGACUGAUAGACUGCUA